rnacentral:rRNA from 1 species
AUGGUCUUAGCUUGCUAAGGCCGAUGGCGACCGGCGCACGGGUGAGUAACACGUAUCCAACCUGCCGUCUACUCUUGGACAGCCUUCUGAAAGGAAGAUUAAUACAAGAUGGCAUCAUGAGUCCGCAUGUUCACAUGAUUAAAGGUAUUCCGGUAGACGAUGGGGAUGCGUUCCAUUAGAUAGUAGGCGGGGUAACGGCCCACCUAGUCUUCGAUGGAUAGGGGUUCUGAGAGGAAGGUCCCCCACAUUGGAACUGAGACACGGUCCAAACUCCUACGGGAGGCAGCAGUGAGGAAUAUUGGUCAAUGGGCGAGAGCCUGAACCAGCCAAGUAGCGUGAAGGAUGACUGCCCUAUGGGUUGUAAACUUCUUUUAUAAAGGAAUAAAGUCGGGUAUGGAUACCCGUUUGCAUGUACUUUAUGAAUAAGGAUCGGCUAACUCCGUGCCAGCAGCCGCGGUAAUACGGAGGAUCCGAGCGUUAUCCGGAUUUAUUGGGUUUAAAGGGAGCGUAGAUGGAUGUUUAAGUCAGUUGUGAAAGUUUGCGGCUCAACCGUAAAAUUGCAGUUGAUACUGGAUAUCUUGAGUGCAGUUGAGGCAGGCGGAAUUCGUGGUGUAGCGGUGAAAUGCUUAGAUAUCACGAAGAACUCCGAUUGCGAAGGCAGCCUGCUAAGCUGCAACUGACAUUGAGGCUCGAAAGUGUGGG